rfam:Sphingobacteriales bacterium BACL12 MAG-120813-bin55 contig00533, whole genome shotgun sequence.
GGCCCCGUAGCUCAGUGGAUAGAGCAUCUGCCUUCUAAGCAGAUGGUCACACGUUCGAAUCGUGUCGGGGUCA